rnacentral:rRNA from 1 species
AGCAGUAGCCACGGUAAUACGAAGGGGGCUAGCGUUGCUAGGAAUUACUGGGCGUAAAGGGAGCGUAGGCGGAUGAAUUAGUCAGGGGUGAAAUCCCGGGGCUCAACCUCGGAACUGCCUUUGAUACUGUUCAUCUUGAGUAUGGGAGAGGCGUGUGGAACUCCGAGUGUAGAGGUGAAAUUCGUAGAUAUUCGGAAGAACACCAGUGGCGAAGGCGACACACUGGCCCAUUACUGACGCUGAGGCUCGAAAGCGUGGGGAGCAAACAGGAUUAGAUACCCCUGUAGUCCCUGUCUCUUAUAA